ACGAAUCACCAACCAUUGCAUUGUUUACAAAUCCUGCAAGUCGAAGAAUUAUUCAUGAUGUAUUAAGUAAUCACAAAUUUAUCAUAUCCUCAGUGUUACCUGCUGUUGCUGCUUUUACCACAGCUUGUUGUCUUUCCAUGCAUUUGUAUAUAUUCAUAGUUAUUAAAUGGUUCUCUACUUUUUAAGCUUUUGCUGUUUCUUCUAUUUUCUUUGUUCGCCUAAUGCAUGUUCUUGUUAAAUAAAACCCAAAUGCCAAUUCCAUUGAUGUAAGUUGAAUCAUGAUCUUUUGUCCUUGCUGUGUACUAGAUGGCAUUGCAGAUCAAUCUAUGGAAUCAUUUCCAUCUGAGAAUGCAAGAAAUUGCUGCAAAAUAUGAACAUGAGAGAGUCUGAAAUUAAUCAUUCUCCUCCAACAAACUAGGAAGUCAUUCCUGUCACAGUUAAAACUGCCCGUUCCAAAGCAUCUAAAUCAUGUUUUUUAAUCCGUCUGGACAUUUGGUUCAGUUGCCUAUGAGGCAAUAGGCAUAGUAAAACUUCCACAAAACAUCUAAAAAGAAAACCCAGAGGAAAUCUUUGGAGAAUAUGAUCGAACAUUUGGAAAACAACUAGGGAGUACCGAAAACUAGUUUCUUAAUCAUAUUAACUCUUUAUAUGUUUUCCUUGUGUUUCACUUUUAACUUUUGUGACCAAACAAGGUUGCACUAUUCUCAUGCAUACGAAUGUUUCUCCAUAACCCCCGGUAUUCUCCAAGUUACUUUGCGAUUCCGCCAUUUAUCUUCGUGAAGGUUGUGAUUUCUUAAUCGACGCAUGAGGGAAAAAAAAUAGAAUUAGGAUAGAUCGCUGCCUUGCCAAUCUCAUGUUUUAAGAUAUCGAAAUCCAUUUUAAAGGGUGUUCUUGUAUCCCGAAAAUCUCUUGUUUGGAUAAUUCACGGACUGUCAA
rnacentral:lncRNA from 1 species